ACUGCGCCAUGAUGGGAACUCACCAAGUUUUAAGCCAGUGUUUCUCUUGGACCGCUCCUUCUUCCAGAGAAAACCUAUCAGCCUCACAGCCUGGCCACUGCCACAGCACAGACAGCCAACAUGGCAAAGACAACAGCUGAGAGUCAGAGCUAUUUGAGCCUAGACACAGGGACACUGUCUGUGAAGCACAAAACAUAGGCUCAGAUACUGAGUCACAGACCCAAGAAGGUGCUGCAGAGAUGGAGUCCCCCAGUCAGGCUCGGUGCAGACCCGGGCACAGAAAUGCUGUCUCAGAAACAUGGUCAAGGGCGGGUCCUGAGCCAUGGUUGCAGGUGUGAAGAGAGCCCCUCAUUCAUAAACAGACAGACAGACAUGCUCAUCAACAUGUGGUGUGAUGACUGAGACAGAAUCCAGAUUUGCGAUCAUAGGUGGAGCUGGAACCAGCAACAAGCAGCAGACGCAACUCUCAGAAGCGGUCCAGACAGAGGAACAGAGGCCGCCACGGGAAGUGGAUGGGGAUCGGAGUUUUCCCUGUUGCCCCUGAAUUGCCAGCUCAGUCCACAGUUGAGGAAGAGGUCUGGGUGCCCUGCACUCUAAAGGCGGAGUUUGCCAGUGGCAGGGGCCAGACAUCUGCCGCAGACCCUGAUCCUGGCUGUCAGCACUCUUGCCUGACCCUCUGCCCAUGGCUUCCUUUUCCAUGAGAGAAGAUGGGUAGGGAGAGAGGAGCCCUUGCUCAAGCUGACCGCAGUGCAGAGUGUGUGGCAAGAAGGCUUCCCUUCUGCUGUCCACUCCCUCCCCCAGAACCAUGUGAGACUUCUCGAUGGGGUGGCUAGAGACACUGGCGUCCUGGUCAUCAGGGGUGGAGGCUGCAGAGGAAGUAAGAGGGGUCUUGGGAGAAUGUAACCCUUUGAGUGUCGGGGUCUACCUGACCACAGGGGCUGAUGCCUGCUUGUCCACUGGAGGUUUUUGAAAUCAGUGUGUUCAAAGAAGGGACCUUGGGCGAAUGCCUUUGAGGGUGAGGAUGGGACUGGGGCGGUGGCUUUUGGGUCUUUUGAGGCCAGGAAAGAAGACCUCAAUGGCUCCUGUGGCUCCCUGAGAAGGAGCAUGGAGACUGGGGUGCAGGAGCCACGGGGCGGCCUUCUGUGAUGCCCUUGGAGGAGCGUUGGGCUAUGGACUCCUGCUGGGGCCAAAGGGACCUGUCCUUGGUGACAGAGAGAGCUGUGCUGACACUGGUCACACACCCAAGGAAGCUGCAGGCAAACCUACCCAACACAUGUUCCAGCCACCACCAGCGACUAAUGAAACCAGAUGGAGCCAGAGCAAAAUCAGGGACCCCUGCCUCCACCGCCACAGCUGACCAGUCCUGUGAGAGGACCCCAGCCGUCUUUCCCAUCUGCCCUCCCGACAAGAGAUGAGAGAAGAGAAGGGAGGGAGGGAGAGGCCCUUCUCUUCUAGUCCCGCAGCCUGUCUGCUCCAGGUUUGAAUCAAAUGUACUCUGUGGGCUGGACCAGACUUCCAAUAACUGAGACUGACUGGGGGGCGCCGGGUUCCACUCAGGAUGUCAUUAGGUGACAGGGAAGGGUUUUGACAGAGCAUGACUGAAGGCAGCCAUGGAGAAAGCGGAGCACUUUUGUGAUCAUUCAUCACCGAACUGAGACUCCUCAAUAAAUUGUGUAUGGACCUGC